UACCAAACUUGCAUCGUGGUCUAAUUGCAUGCCAGAGAUGAUCUCUCUUCUUUUCCUUUUGCCGCUUUAUCUUUCCCUUUCUUUUUUACCGUCACUGCCUGCUGCAAAUUUCAGACAUUCCUGGCCAUGUUUGUGGCUCAAAGAUCCCAAAAGCCAGCUUGGACUCGUCAAUGGCCACCUCCACAUCUCAGAUGCCCUCCACGCCCCCUCUCUCUUUUCCUCAGAGCAAACGUUGAUCCUUGAGCUCGGCACAAUCCCCUCCUCCUCGAUCCUUUCGUUGCCUUGUUCCUAGGUAUGCUUUCCUUUAGAAAAGCAACAAACAAAGAUGCUCUCAUUCCCUUGCUGAACUCCUGGAAUCAAUGGGAACAACUUUGCAUGCACACUAUAUAACCAACACUAAUCUCAUAAUAGUUUUACUGGUUCCCUUUGUUUUCAUGUGAUUAUUCGCUUCUCGCACACACAGAAUCAUCCUCUGCUUAUUGCAACCUAGGAGUUUGUAUGGAGGUAAUUAAUACUAGUGUGUAAGAUAUGAUUUCCUAAAGUUUUCAGGACUUUGAGGAUAUAGAAUCAUAUUCUUAUUCAUAGAACUCAUGCUAAUGUAUGUUUCAAUGGCACAGACUAUAGAGCUAAAGGUGGACAUGGUUGCAUUACAUGAGAAGAGAUUGAGGAAAUGCUUGUCCAAAGUGAAAGGCUCCUUGACAACAAGAUGCCAAAUAAUGUGGUUACUAUGUGAUGCGAUUUAUGAGACAAAUUGUUGAAGAAGUUGAAAUUAUUGAAAGAGAUUCACUACGAUCUAUAUUCACACAAGCAGAGUAUUCUUGAGAAGAAAUUGAUGAGGUGCGAUCGGAGUUGGCAGAAUGUAUACAAGAUCAUAUUUAUGAGUAGGUUGAGGCUAUCCGGAGAGUUCCAGUCGCUAGUCCCCUAUAGGUCGUGAGGAUGUGUUGUUUCAGACUUUUGGUUCUUAUUUUCUUAUUGCACUAUCUGGACUUGUAUUAGUUUACUUUAUGGAUAUUGUCGAUGAGUUUAUGUGGAUUUGUUUUACUAUAUGCCUGCCUGGAUGGCAGAAGA